AGGGACAGGCAAGGCAGCCACAAGCUGAGAAGAUGCUGCUUGAAAUGUUUGGGGUUUCCAGAGUUAAGGGCAUGACACCCAUGAACUUAUAUGCUCAUUGCUGAGCCUCAUCCCAUCUGAGAUCUCCCCAACCCACACCCCUGCUGCUGUAGAGGUAGACAUGAUGCGGGAAAGAGGUUAGACUUUUGGCGAUGGUGAUAAUUUGUGGUUUAUAGAAUUGAGGGUGCUACAGGGAGCGUGAGACCACUGUGCAGGAGCAAAAGCAAUGCACCUAGAAACACGCCUGGAAGAUUGCUCUCAGCUCUGACAGCUUAUCUGCCUUUCCUUGUUGGUGAUGGCCUGACAGUUUGAGCAGUCCUGCACAGCAGCACAGGCUGUUGUGUUGUGCUCUGUUCUCUCAGCAAUGAACCACAGCGACAUUGCAUAAAGCUGGAAAAAAUGACAAAAGAGAAUUGGCACAAAGCUGAGAGUGCAAUGGAGAAACAAGAAGAGAUGAGGCUGCAGGUGAAGUUCACGUUGAAUGUGAGUGGAGCUCAUAAAGGCCCAGCUACCAUGGGAAUGGUGACAGGGAUGCUGGUCCCCAGUGUGUGGAUAUGCAGCCUAAGGAACAGAAUGAAGGCAAACUUACCCCGUGAAACAGGAGAGUGGUGGUUGAAGCAGGGGCGAUGUGUGAAAAUGUCCCAAGGAAGUGACACCAGCAAAUAAUUAAAUUAAUACUGUAAAGAUUUCACAACAUUGAAAGUGCAAGAGUUAAAAAACAAUUAAAAAAAAUAAAAAGAAAGUGCAAGAGUUGGAAUGUUGGAAGCUGAUCCCAUUGAGAACAGAGUGAGAUAACUCAGAUGCUGACUCUAUAUUGUCAAGUGUGAGGUCAGAAGAAUGCAAGCACUGUGCAAACUACUCUUGAUAGGUCUUUACAAAAAAUAAAACACAAGCCUUUUCAGUGUU